AAGUGAGUAUUUUACAAAAAUUAAGUCUCUUUGCCAUGAAAUUUCUAAAUUAGAUUCUGAGUUUAAAAUUAGUGAAGGAAGAAUGAAGAGAAUUAUUAUUCAUGGCUUGAGAUGAGAGUUCAAUCCUAUCGUCAUCGUGAUAUGUGAUUAGGCAACUCAAUCAUCAUUAUUAGAAUUGGAGAAUCUAUUAGCCGCAUAGGAAGUUGGACAACAAAAAUGUAGGGACUUCUUUAAAAAAGGAAGAAGAAGCCUUGUUCAGCCAAAAAUGUAAAGGAAGACAAGGGUGUUGUGUUAGCGUAUGG
rnacentral:misc_RNA from 1 species